UGGUAAAUAACAUUAAUCAACUUCUGAUU
rnacentral:piRNA from 1 species